UUUAUUCUCUAAACCGUGAGCUGAAACAUUUUAUGCCAAACUUCUUCCAACUCCACCAUCGUCACAGUUUGAAUAUUUUAGCCCAGAAUUUAAGUCACUACAAUUUGUUGGUGUGCUCCGUGAAUAAAUUCCAGUCUGUUGGCAAUAGGCCAGUGACAAUGCAUGCCACACAGGCCUCCCACUCUGUAUUUAACUCCUUCA